AUUGAACGCUGGCGGCAGGCCUAACACAUGCAAGUCGAGCGGCAGCGGGAAAGUAGCUUGCUACUUUUGCCGGCGAGCGGCGGACGGGUGAGUAAUGCCUGGGGAUCUGCCCAGUCGAGGGGGAUAACUACUGGAAACGGUAGCUAAUACCGCAUACGCCCUACGGGGGAAAGCAGGGGACCUUCGGGCCUUGCGCGAUUGGAUGAACCUAGGUGGGAUUAGCUAGUUGGUGAGGUAACGGCUCACCAAGGCGACGAUCCCUAGCUGGUCUGAGAGGAUGAUCAGCCACACUGGAACUGAGACACGGUCCAGACUCCUACGGGAGGCAGCAGUGGGGAAUAUUGCACAAUGGGGGAAACCCUGAUGCAGCCAUGCCGCGUGUGUGAAGAAGGCCUUCGGGUUGUAAAGCACUUUCAGCGAGGAGGAAAGGUUGGUAGCUAAUAACUGCCAGCUGUGACGUUACUCGCAGAAGAAGCACCGGCUAACUCCGUGCCAGCCGCCGCGGUAAAAC
rnacentral:rRNA from 1 species